UACGUAGGGUGCAAGCGUUAAUCGGAAUUACUGGGCGUAAAGCGUGCGCAGGCGGUGAUGUAAGACAGAUGUGAAAUCCCCGGGCUCAACCUGGGAACUGCAUUUGUGACUGCAUCGCUGGAGUGCGGCAGAGGGGGAUGGAAUUCCUGGUGUAGCGGUGAAAUGCGCAGAUAUCAGGAGGAACACCGGUGGCGAAGGCGGCGACCUGGACAGAUACUGACACUCAACUACGAAAGCGUGGGUAGCAAACAGG
rnacentral:rRNA from 1 species